UUGGGCUGGAAGGCACCUUUAAAGGUUAUCUAGUCCAACCUCCCUGCAAUAAGCAGGGCAUCUUCAACUAGACCAGGUUGUUCAGAGCCCUUGAAUAUUUCCAGACAUGGGCCAUCCACAACUUCUCUGACCAACAUGUUUCAGUGUUUUACCACUCCCACUGUAAAAAAAAAUUUCUUUAUAUCUAAUCUAAACCAAAUCUCCUUUAGUUUUAAACCAUUGUUCUCGUUCUAUUGCAACAUAUCCUACUAAAAGGUUUGUUGUCAUCUUUUUUACAGGUCCCCUUUAGGUACCAGAAAGUUGCUGUGAGGUCUCCCUGGAGCCUUCUCUUCUCCACGCUGAACAGUCCCAAAUCUCUCACCCUGUCUUCACAGGAGAAGUGCUCCAGCCCUCUGAUUGCCUUUGUGGCCUCCUCCGGACUCAUUCCAACAGGUCCAUGGACUCAGGAGUCCAGGUAAUCCAGGACGUUUUGCGCUAGUGGUGUCAUCACCAGAGCAGUCCCCUGUCUGCCCAAAUUGCCGGUGCUGUGCCCACGUCGUACCUGAGCUGACUCCAAAGCUGUGUCCACAAUUCAGCUGCUGCUGGCAGCAAUGGGAGCUGCCAGGUGCUCAGGGCUGCUGUCAUCAGGCCAGGAGAGGUGCAUGA
rnacentral:lncRNA from 1 species